rnacentral:rRNA from 1 species
UCAUAGUUGGAACUAGGUUUAGGUCAUCUAGUUCACCUCACGAUGAGCAACGAUUUACUUGUCCCUAUUAUCAAUAAUGUGAUCUUGGCCUCAUUUGACUGAGUCAUUCCUUUAGUGCUGUUACUUUGAAAAAAUCAAAGUGCUCAAGUAAGCCUACACUUGUAUUCAUUAGCAUAAGGUAACAUUAUAGGAUUUCAAUCCUAAUGUGUUGGCCUUUGAGAUCGAAGUAAUGAUUGAUAGGGAUAGUCAGGGGCAUUCAUAUUUCACAGUCAGAGGUGAAAUUCUUGGAUUUAUGAAAGAUGAAUAACUAUGAAAGCAUUUGCCAAGGAUGUUUUCAUUAAUCAAGAGUGAAAGUUGAGAGCUUGAAGAUGAUCAAAUACUGUCCUAGUGUCAACCAUAAAUGAUGUAGACUAUAGAUUGAUGGAUGUUACUUUUAAGACUCUGUCGACACCUUAUGAGAAAUCAAAGUCUUUAGGUUUCAAAGGAAGUAUGGUCGCAAGGCUGAAACUUAAAGGAAUUGAUGGAAGGGCACCACCAAGAGUGGAGCUUACAGCUUAAUUUGACUCAACACAAGAAAACUUACUAGGUCUAGACAUAGUAAGGAUUGAUAGAUCAAAAGAUCUUUCUUAAUUUUAUGGGUGAUGUUGCAUGGCCAUUCUUAGUUGGUGGAGUGAUUUGUCUUGUUAAUUCCAUUAACAAACGAGACCUUAGCUUGCUAACUAGCUACACAAAGGUGAUCCUUUAUGGAUAGCUUCUUAGAAUGACUAUGGCCACUUAGGCCAAGGAAGUUUGAGGCAAUAAUAGGUUUGUGAUGCCCUUUAGAUGUUCUAGGCUGCAUGCACGCUAGACUAAUGUAUCUAACGAGAGGUAAUCUUUGAAAUUUCACCAUGAUGGGGAUAGAUCAUUGUAAUUGUUGGUCUUGAAUGAGGAAUUCCUAGUAAGCGUGAGUCACUAGCUCACGUUGACUAUGUCCUUACCCUUUGUACACAUCACCUAUCGUUUUUACUAAUGGAAUGGUUAGGUGAAGUGUUUGGAUCGUGGCAAUGUGGAUGGUUCGUUCUCAUGAUGUUAUAAGAAGUCUACUGAACCUUAUCAUUUAGAGGAAGGAGAAGUCAUAACAAGGUUUCUUUAGGUGAACCUGUGGAAA